GACAGAGGGUGCGAACGUUGUUCGGAAUUACUGGGCGUAAAGCGCAUGUAGGCGGCAGCGCAAGUCGGGCGUGAAAUCCCACGGCUCAACCGUGGAAGUGCACUCGAAACUGCGCAGCUAGAGUCCUGGAGAGGAAGGUGGAAUGCUCGGUGUAGAGGUGAAAUUCGUAGAUAUCAAGCGGAACACCGGUGGCGAAGGCGGCCUUCUGGACAGUGACUGACGCUGAGAUGCGAAAGCGUGGGGAGCAAACAGG
rnacentral:rRNA from 1 species